GGAAAUAGAAAUUUUUUAAUUUUUUUUUUUUUUGGUUUUAAUAUCGAACGAUGACACCUAUAUCAUAUGCUUUAGCUCACCACUUUGUGAUUCCCCCAACAUCCACGAGUAAACAUUUUGCAAUUGUUUAAGGAAAUCGUCUCCAAAUUGAGGUAAAGAAAGUGAAUUAUAGAACUGAAAUUCUUGACCUCCAUCAAAAUCCCUUAAUUUGCUCCGAUGAGAAUGAUGAAAAUAUACCAUCAAUUUCGUAGAUCGACGGUGGCGGAGUUCCGAUGGUUUUGUUGGAAAUCAUGUCGGGUCUGAGCGAUUUGAAGAACUGCCAGAAGUUGGGAUUGCCCAAUUAAAGGUAGUGCGUUUGAUUUGAAGUCCUAGAUGACAUCAAGAUGCACCUAACGCUAUGUAAUAAAAUCCCAUGCCUUUUUAUUGUAACAAAUAAUUUUUUGAUUCUUUCGUAAUGCAUGUAUAGCUUUGAUUUAGAUGAGUUCUAAUUGUGAUUUGGACUAUUUGUAUUGUUAAUUUUGUUUCUUUCCCCCUUUUUUUCAAACCUACCUGCAUGAAUUCGAGAGCUAAUUCUUCUUCUUCUCCCAUUAUUGUUGCUUUAGUUUCUGCUAUCAAGAGAGCUGCCGUCUCUGUUUCUUAUACGGCUGGAUCAUCACCUUCUGGUGACAGGUUAGUUUUUGAACAUCCAAAAUUUAUAUUUUAUAUGAAGAUUUUGUUUGUUUGUAGCUUGGAUAAUAAAAAGUAAAUUUUUAUUUUCAAAGAGUGCAGAAGUUCUAGGCUUAAUUGAGAGGAAAAACUUUAUCUCGGUUAUCAAUAAUGAGCCCAUAGAAAUCAAGCUCUUGAUUUCUCUGAUAUUCUGGUUUCAGCAUCUUUUGUGAUUUAUCUUAUUUUGAUAUUUUUUUCAAUUUUUUAUAUUCAGAUUAUGACCAUCAUUAGUUUGAUAGCUUCUAGUGUUUUCAUAUCCAUCCCCGAUUCUACUUAUGUCCCCAUACCUCCUUGUCCCCGUCGUAAUUACUUGAGGGGAGGGGAUGUGGAUUUCCGAGGAUACCCAAUCCCUGAAACUGAUACUUAUACUAGGAAGAUAUAUGUUGCAUUUGCGUUCAUUUCAUUGGGAUAAUGCCAUAUGAAUUGAAUGAGCGCACAUGGUUUAUUGAAUAUAAGCUAGAAGUUUGAUUACUUAUUGAUUCAUUUUAAUGGUUUAUGACUGAAGUACAUGUAAUUUGGCUUUAAAUUCUAUUUAAACUAGUUAGAACUGUUGACUAGCUUUUGAAGUUUAUAUUUAAAAACUCUGUUUCUGGACUAAUUUUGCUGGCAAUUCCCAGUAAACUUUAGCAAGAUAAAUCUGGGAAACAAUUAUUACAGUGGCCUAUUGUUGAAAUUGAGAAACUUUGCAUUAACUAAGUAAAAUGUUCAAGCAAAUUGCUGAGGAUUCGUGAUUGAAGUUUCAAAUGUUACUUCUGUUCAGGUUAAGUUCAUGUUUAAAUCAAGUAUAUGACAUUAAAUUAUUAUGGCCUUAUCCCUUGUUACAGAGAUAAAGUGAAUUUCAAGAAGGCGCUCAACUUUCUAAUAUUAAUCACUGACGCAAAGGUGAGAUGUCAAUCUAUAUUGUUUUAUUUCCUUCUUUUCUUUUUCAAUUUUUUUUAAGUUAGUUCUUUUACGUUUUAAGCAAACAUAAAUGUAAGGAAGUUUUUGCAGGCUAAAAGUGUUGCAUACUUCUUCCUCCGUUUGGCCUAAUUAAUAUAUGUAAAAUAUAUAGCCAGAUGGGGUUUUGACAUCUACAUUUCUUGAACAUGUUAAAAGCUGCAUAUGGUAAUUUUAGUUUGUUUAUUUUGCUCCAUAUUUUAGCCAAAUGAAGAUGUAUGUGCCUGAAAUAUCCUUAAACUUGACGCAGAUAAAUGACUUAAAAAUUUUAUUGAUGGGUAAAGUUUAUGCAUGUAGAUUUUUUUAAGGCAGAUUGAGGACUUUACACUUGUAUCAAGGAGCGUGUUUGUAGAAAUUAAAGGUAUGUGUGCUGGACAAUUAUUGUUACAUAUUCUGGUCAUGUGUAUUUAGCAUAGUUAAAAAUCAUAUUUUGCAUAGUUCAUUAACUGUUUUAUGAUCUCAUGCAUCAAAAUAGAAUCCAGAUUCACUCAUGAAUUAGUUUGACAGUGCCUCUACAGAGGAUUUGACUUAAGUAAAUUUGGAGUAAUCGAAGAGGAUUUGACUUAAGAAAAUUUGGAGUAAUUGAAGAGGAUUUGACUAAAGAAAAUUUGGAGUAAUCGAACAUGAUUGAUACACAUAUAGAAUAGUUUAUUACCGUUGCUAAGGAAAAUUGUGAAAUUCCCUAUGCUUGCUUGAUAAUUGUUAUACGCUAAAAGAGUACUAGCAUACUAUUAUAUAGUUUUCAAUUAUGUUGAUAACUAAAUACUAUCAACAUGGUUUCCAAUAAUGCAGGAUCUUAUUGUAGAUUAUGAAGAUGAGGAACAAAUUGCAAAGUGAUGAGCAGAAUAUUUGAGAAGUAAGAAUGUAUAAUCCAACUUCUUGAAGUGUAAGACCAAAUGAAGAUGAAUAAUCAUUUUAUGUAUGUGAAGUUGAACAAUGAAUGAAUUACAUUUAUCUUUGUUACAUGUACUGGAUUAUUAUUUUGAUAAUGAACUUAUUAGAUUUCUUUUAGUAAUUGUUUUAAUUUUAUUACACUUUGAUUGUAUAAUUCAUGUACAAAUUGAUUAACGU
rnacentral:lncRNA from 1 species